CUAACCAGGAAGACAACACUGAGGUAGUACAGGUUACAUCUAUGUCCAGAGAUGUGGCUAAGAUAAAAGAUGCUCACAGUUUGUUCAUAAUUUGAUUUGAUGAGGAAUCCAUAGGGUGGCGGAUGUUUGCUAUGAGGUGGUGUAUGUACGUGCUACACCUCAUGGCCGUGGCCUGCUUCCUGCAAGCCAAUUUACUGCUUCUUCCGAGGUCAUAUAGUGAUGCUAUGGCACUGAGAAUCUGAAGGUUAGUAAUUCUAUUCUAUUCUUCUCUAUUAAGAACAGUGUUAUUUUUCAUGAUUUAGUGACUGCUGAGUGCUAAUAAAUUAAUUCAAUCAUAUUGGGCCAUCUGUUAUAGAGCUAAACGAACCAUCUGAAGUGGGAUGCAUUGCAUUUUCCCAACAGAAUUUACAGUAGCACCAAGAAGGGUUGUGUCCAUCAUCCUCAUCAUGUCCGAUCUAGGCCGCCGGAGCACCAAGUCGCUGGCCUAUUCUAACAAGUCCAGGCCCUCGAGGCAGCCCUUCUCGCCGUGGAAGGAGACCCCGAUCUGUAGGAACGUCGGGCAUGGUCCCGUAAUUAACAACAAGACUCUCCUCUGUCCAUCCGCAUAACUCCCAUGAAGAAAAAUCUCUAAACUCCAGUCACCACCUUUAUGUCGAUCUAAGCGGUGGAGAGUUUGGUAUGGUGGCAAAUCAAGCAACUGCAGAUGGAGUCAUUCCAUGUUACUGCAUUGAGUUAGCAUACGCGGCAUGGAUGAUAGAUCAAACCCAAGUGAUUUGGUUAUUUAGAACAAAAUCUAAGACUUGACCAAAUGAAAUUGGUAUUUUGUUGAACUGAACGACACACAUAUUGCCUAACCAUAAUUAUGUUACCUAUCACGACCUCAUGUGCUCCUGAAGCAAGCU
rnacentral:lncRNA from 1 species